rnacentral:rRNA from 1 species
AAAUUGAAGAGUUUGAUCAUGGCUCAGAUUGAACGCUGGCGGCAGGCCUAACACAUGCAAGUCGAACGGUAACAGGAAGCGCUUGCUGCUUCGCUGACGAGUGGCGGACGGGUGAGUAAUGUCUGGGAAACUGCCUGAUGGAGGGGGAUAACUACUGGAAACGGUAGCUAAUACCGCAUAACGUCGCAAGACCAAAGAGGGGGACCUUCGGGCCUCUUGCCAUCGGAUGUGCCCAGAUGGGAUUAGCUUGUUGGUGGGGUAACGGCUCACCAAGGCGACGAUCCCUAGCUGGUCUGAGAGG